rnacentral:rRNA from 1 species
GAUGAACGCUGGCGGCGUGCCUAAUACAUGCAAGUCGAGCGAACGGACGAGAAGCUUGCUUCUCUGAUGUUAGCGGCGGACGGGUGAGUAACACGUGGAUAACCUACCUAUAAGACUGGGAUAACUUCGGGAAACCGUAGCUAAUACCGGAUAAUAUUUUGAACCGCAUGGUUCAAAAGUGAAAGACGGUCUUGCUGUCACUUAUAGAUGGAUCCGCGCUGCAUUAGCUAGUUGGUAAGGUAACGGCUUACCAAGGCAACGAUGCAUAGCCGACCUGAGAGGGUGAACGGGCACACCGGAACUGAGACAAGGUCCAGACCCCCUAGGGGAGGAGCAGUGGGGAAUCUUCCGGAAAGGGCGGAAGCCCUAACGAGGCACGGCGGGGGGGGUAAGAAGGGUUUCGGGUCGGAAAACUCUGUUAUUAGGGAAGAACAUAUGUGUAAGUAACUGUGCACAUCUUGACGGUACCUAAUCAGAAAGCCACGGCUAACUACGUG